rnacentral:rRNA from 1 species
AGGGAACGCUGGCGGUAGGCCUAACACAUGCAAGUCGAACGGCAGCACAGUAAGAGCUUGCUCUUACGGGUGGCGAGUGGCGGACGGGUGAGGAAUACAUCGGAAUCUACUUUUUCGUGGGGGAUAACGUAGGGAAACUUACGCUAAUACCGCAUACGACCUACGGGCGAAAGCAGGGGAUCUUCGGACCUUGCGCGAUUGAAUGAGCCGAUGUCGGAUUAGCUAGUUGGCGGGGUAAAGGCCCACCAAGGCGACGAUCCGUAGCUGGUCUGAGAGGAUGAUCAGCCACACUGGAACUGAGACACGGUCCAGACUCCUACGGGAGGCAGCAGUGGGGAAUAUUGGACAAUGGGCGCAAGCCUGAUCCAGCCAUACCGCGUGGGUGAAGAAGGCCUUCGGGUUGUAAAGCCCUUUUGUUGGGAAAGAAAAGCAGCAGGUUAAUACCCCGCUGUUCUGACGGUACCCAAAGAAUAAGCACCGGCUAACUUCGUG